rnacentral:rRNA from 1 species
GACGAACGCUGGCGGCGUGCUUAACACAUGCAAGUCGAACGAUGAAGCCUAGCUUGCUAGGUGGAUUAGUGGCGAACGGGUGAGUAAUACGUGAGUAACCUACCUUUAACUCUGGGAUAAGCCCGGGAAACUGGGUCUAAUACCGGAUACGACCAAUCUCCGCAUGGGGUGUUGGUGGAAAGCGUUAUGUAGUGGUUAUAGAUGGGCUCACGGCCUAUCAGCUUGUUGGUGAGGUAACGGCUCACCAAGGCGACGACGGGUAGCCGGCCUGAGAGGGUGACCGGCCCCCCUGGGACCGAGAACCGGCCCAGACUCCUACGGGAGGGAGGCGUGGGGAAUAAUGCCAAAAGGGCGCCAGCCUGAUGCAGCCACGCCGGGUGAGGGAUGACGGCCUUCCGGUUUUAAACCUCUGUUAGCAGGGAAGAAGAGAGAUUGACGGUACCUGCAGAGAAAGCGCCGGCUAACUACGU